CGGGUGAGUAACACGUGGGUGAUCUGCCCUGCACUCUGGGAUAAGCCUGGGAAACUGGGUCUAAUACCGGAUAUGACCGCAUGAUGCAUGUUGUGUGGUGGAAAGCUUUUGUGGUGCAGGAUGGGCCCGCGGCCUAUCAGCUUGUUGGUGGGGUAAUGGCCUACCAAGGCGACGACGGGUAGCCGACCUGAGAGGGUGACCGGCCACACUGGGACUGAGACACGGCCCAGACUCCUACGGGAGGCAGCAGUGGGGAAUAUUGCACAAUGGGCGGAAGCCUGAUGCAGCGACGCCGCGUGAGGGAUGAAGGCCUUCGGGUUGUAAACCUCUUUCAGCAGGGACGAAGCGUGAGUGACGGUACCUGCAGAAGAAGCACCGGCUAACUACGUGCCAGCAGCCGCGGUAAUACGUAGGGUGCGAGCGUUGUCCGGAAUUACUGGGCGUAAAGAGUUCGUAGGCGGUUUGUCGCGUCGUUUGUGAAAACCCGGGGCUCAACUUCGGGCUUGCAGGCGAUACGGGCAGACUUGAGUGUUUCAGGGGAGACUGGAAUUCCUGGUGUAGCGGUGAAAUGCGCAGAUAUCAGGAGGAACACCGGUGGCGAAGGCGGGUCUCUGGGAAACAACUGACGCUGAGGAACGAAAGCGUGGGUAGCAAACAGGAUUAGAUACCCUGGUAGUCCACGCCGUAAACG
rnacentral:rRNA from 1 species